GAUGAAGAACGCAGCGAAAUGCGAUAAGUAAUGUGAAUUGCAGAAUUCAGUGAAUCAUCGAGUUUUUGAACGCAUAUUGCGCCCUCUGGUAUUCCGGGGGGCAUGCCUGUUCGAGCGUCAUUAAAUAACCCUCAAGCAUAGCUUGGUGUUGGGCUUUUUUACGUCCUUGACUGGGAUGGGCCUAAAAAUUAGUGGCGAUGGCUUUUUUACUUUCAAGCGUAGUAAAUCUCGUCUUGCUAAAGAGGAAAAAGAUUUUUUUUCUGCCAAAAAUUUUAACAUUUAAAGUUGACCUCGGAUCAGGUAGGAUUACCCGCUGAACUUAAGCAUAUCAUAAGCGGAGGA
rnacentral:misc_RNA from 1 species